AUUGGUGCUUGCAUCAUGAUUUACAUUUGAGUGAGUGGCGAACUGGUGAGUAACACGUGGGAAACCUGCCCAGAAGCGGGGGAUAACACCUGGAAACAGAUGCUAAUACCGCAUAACAACUUGGACCGCAUGGUCCGAGCUUGAAAGAUGGCUUCGGCUAUCACUUUUGGAUGGUCCCGCGGCGUAUUAGCUAGAUGGUGGGGUAACGGCUCACCAUGGCAAUGAUACGUAGCCGACCUGAGAGGGUAAUCGGCCACAUUGGGACUGAGACACGGCCCAAACUCCUACGGGAGGCAGCAGUAGGGAAUCUUCCACAAUGGACGAAAGUCUGAUGGAGCAACGCCGCGUGAGUGAAGAAGGGUUUCGGCUCGUAAAACUCUGUUGUUAAAGAAGAACAUAUCUGAGAGUAACUGUUCAGGUAUUGACGGUAUUUAACCAGAAAGCCACGGCUAACUACGUGCCAGCAGCCGCGGUAAUACGUAGGUGGCAAGCGUUGUCCGGAUUUAUUGGGCGUAAAGCGAGCGCAGGCGGUUUUUUAAGUCUGAUGUGAAAGCCUUCGGCUCAACCGAAGAAGUGCAUCGGAAACUGGGAAACUUGAGUGCAGAAGAGGACAGUGGAACUCCAUGUGUAGCGGUGAAAUGCGUAGAUAUAUGGAAGAACACCAGUGGCGAAGGCGGCUGUCUGGUCUGUAACUGACGCUGAGGCUCGAAAGUAUGGGUAGCAAACAGGAUUAGAUACCCUGGUAGUCCAUACCGUAAACGAUGAAUGCUAAGUGUUGGAGGGUUUCCGCCCUUCAGUGCUGCAGCUAACGCAUUAAGCAUUCCGCCUGGGGAGUACGGCCGCAAGGCUGAAACUCAAAGGAAUUGACGGGGGCCCGCACAAGCGGUGGAGCAUGUGGUUUAAUUCGAAGCUACGCGAAGAACCUUACCAGGUCUUGACAUACUAUGCAAAUCUAAGAGAUUAGACGUUCCCUUCGGGGACAUGGAUACAGGUGGUGCAUGGUUGUCGUCAGCUCGUGUCGUGAGAUGUUGGGUUAAGUCCCGCAACGAGCGCAACCCUUAUUAUCAGUUGCCAGCAUUAAGUUGGGCACUCUGGUGAGACUGCCGGUGACAAACCGGAGGAAGGUGGGGAUGACGUCAAAUCAUCAUGCCCCUUAUGACCUGGGCUACACACGUGCUACAAUGGAUGGUACAACGAGUUGCGAACUCGCGAGAGUAAGCUAAUCUCUUAAAGCCAUUCUCAGUUCGGAUUGUAGGCUGCAACUCGCCUACAUGAAGUCGGAAUCGCUAGUAAUCGCGGAUCAGCAUGCCGCGGUGAAUACGUUCCCGGGCCUUGUACACACCGCCCGUCACACCAUGAGAGUUUGUAACACCCAA
rnacentral:rRNA from 2 species